rnacentral:rRNA from 1 species
GACGAACGCUGGCGGCGUGCCUAACACAUGCAAGUCGAACGGAAAGGCCCUGCUUUUGUGGGGUGCUCGAGUGGCGAACGGGUGAGUAACACGUGGGUAACCUGCCCUUGACUUUGGGAUAACUUCAGGAAACGGGGGCUAAUACCGGAUAGGAGCUGCUGUUGCAUGGCGGGGGGUGGAAAGGUUCGGCGGUUGGGGAUGGACUCGCGGCUUAUCAGCUUGUUGGUGGGGUAGUGGCUUACCAAGGCUUUGACGGGUAGCCGGCCUGAGAGGGUGACCGGCCACAUUGGGACUGAGAUACGGCCCAGACUCCUACGGGAGGCAGCAGUGGGGAAUAUUGCACAAUGGGCGGAAGCCUGAUGCAGCAACGCCGCGUGCGGGAUGACGGCCUUCGGGUUGUAAACCGCUUUCGCCUGUGACGAAGCGUGAGUGACGGUAAUGGGUAAAGAAGCACCGGCUAACUACGUG